AACGAACGCUGGCGGCGUGCCUAACACAUGCAAGUCGAGCGCGAAAGGAGCAAUCCGAGUAGAGCGGCGCACGGGUGCGUAACACGUGGAUAAUCUGCCUCAGGGUUGAGGAUAACCUUCCGAAAGGUUGGCUAAUACUCGGUAAGCUUACGGUGACUUCGGUCGCUGUGAGAAAACUAGACCUCUAUUUAUAAUUUUAGGCCCAGAGACGAGUCCGCGGCCCAUCAGCUAGUUGGCGGGGUAACGGCCCACCAAGGCUACGACGGGUAGCUGGUCUGAGAGGACGAUCAGCCACACUGGAACUGAGACACGGUCCAGACUCCUACGGGAGGCAGCAGUGGGGAAUUUUCCACAAUGGGCGAAAGCCUGAUGGAGCAACGCCGCGUGUGUGAUGAAGGUCUUCGGAUCGUAAAGCACUUUCGACUGGGACGAAAAACCUUUGGCUAACAUCCAGGGGCCUGACGGUACCAGGAGAAGAAGCACCGGCUAACUCUGUGCCAGCCGCCGCCGUAAUAC
rnacentral:rRNA from 1 species